rnacentral:misc_RNA from 1 species
GUAUUCCAUAACGAAAUAGAUCUUCGUCUUCGUAGCAAGCACUUCAUAGAGUCUAACAAUGUACGGAUGUUGCAGCUGCCGCAUAAUGCACACCUCGCGCUCGAUUCUAUUGUUGAGAAUACCAUCUUUAUUCAAAAUAUUACUCUUGUUAAUUAUUUUGAUUGCGACGCUCUUUCCGUUGCUGAUUUCUCUAGCGUGGUACACUUUGGCAAAUGCACCACAACCGAGUAGCUUUCCUAGCUCAUAUUUUCCGAAUAUAGGCUUCUCCGGCAUCGGUAAAUGGAUGCCGGGAUCGAAUUAUUUGGUAUAUUAAAUACGAUUAAUAAAGAAGAAGCUGAAAGAUUGGUAUAAGUAUAAUUAUUUUGUUUUUCUAUAUGAAUUGGUAUGUAUAAAUAUAUUGGAA